UUUGUCUUUUUAGGGCUGCAUCAUGGCAUAUGGAAGUUCCCUGGCUAGGGGUCCAAUUGAAGCUGUAGCCUCUGGCCUAUACCACAGCCACAGCAAUGCGGGAUCUAAGACAUGUCUGUGACUGACACCACAGCUCAUGGCAGCUCUGGAUCCUUGACCCACUGAGAGGCCAGGGAUUGAACGCAUAUCCUCAUGGCUGCUGGUCUGGUUUGCUAACCACUGAGCCAUGACAGGAACUCUUAGGCACAUUUUCUGCCUGCUUUUUUUUUUUUUUUUUUUUGGCAGCAACUACUCAGGGAAUGUGUGAAUUCUUCAGUCUGAGGGGAGAGGAAAGAAAGUGUGGUUGAUAAACCCUAAAAAGGGGGGUCUGGGCGUUGAAUAUUUAUAACUAGAGAACAGUCUUCAUGGAGUGAGGCUAAAAUAUUUCACAAGCAGGCAAAUCUGUAAUAAUUCAAAAUCGAGAUACAUUUCAGAUUGCCUCUGAAAUAUGGACAGGAAAGACUACUCCCAGAGCUACUUUUAUAAAGCUGAGAUAAUGCAGUGAGAAAUCUAACUGCUAAGAAACUGGAUUCCUGGCUUCCAACAGCGGUUGGUCCAUUCAUUUAUAGCAGUAAAUAAAUGUUAUGAAAGUUCAUGUAGAAACCAUUAUCUAAAUGGCUAAAUAUGAAAGGCGUGCAUUAUGGCCAGGCAUGCAUUUCUGUUUACAUGUCAUCUGAGAAGAAAGGAAUUUAUUUUGUUGAAAGGCAUCCAAAUCUCCCUUUCUUUGGGAGGCUUUGUUACUGAAACACACUUUAUCAUUGUUAAUUGUUUGGCCAUUUAUGGGAUUGGUAGCUAAAUAAAAGUUUGUUUCAUCAACAAGUCUGUACAUUUAUACAUAUUUUGUUGACCUAGUAAUUUCACAAGUUAUACAUCCAUGACAGUCUUAAGGAACUGCCAUUUAAAGGGCCAUUAUUCUCAACUCAGUAGGAAAAUGCCAUGAAGAAAAGGAAGGUUGUGUUUAAAAUAAAUUUAUUUAUAUAUAUAUAAUUUAUAUGUGUGUGUGUGUGUGUGUGUGUGUGUGUGUGUGAAAUUACCUCACCCACCCCACAACUCCUCCAUGACCUGCCAACUGUAGUUUCUAAUGUUUUAAUCCUCACUGCUACUGCCUGUGUUUUUUGUUCCUUGACAUUUUCACCUAUAUUAACCUGAUAAUCUAACAAAUCUCUCUACCUUCAAACUUUCUAUAGUCCACUUUCCAACCAACUCUACUAUCCUGAUCAAGUCCUUUUGAAACUCCCCUAGUCUUGGAAAUAAAGUCCAAAAGCCUUCAUGUGAUAUCCAAAGUCCUUAUGACCCAAGCCAGACUUUCUCCCUCCAUUCUCUUCCCCAAUGCCCCGCAUUCACUUCCAUAGGUCAACCACAGGGAAAUAGCACCAUGCUCUCUCUAUAAGCCAUCAUUAUCUUCAACUUCCUCUGCCUAAAAAACACUUCUUCCCAACUUCCCCACCCAUUCCCCAAACUUUUGCCUGUCGAACACCUAUUUGUCUCUUAGGACUUAACUCUGGCAUUACUUCUACAUGGAAGCCUUCUCUGACAUGCCUCUGCCCCUACACCUUAGUUUAAUGCCCUCUAUAUGCUCUCUGGGUACUAAGUGGAUAAGAUGUAUUUGUAGAAUGAAUCAUCUCACAAACAUCUCAAUUGCAUGAAACCUCUGAUGUGACCAGGAUCAUUGUGUGCCAGCUCAUAAACAAGCCCUGCACGUGUCCUGUCCAAACCUCUGCUCCCAAUGUUCACCUUGGGAUGGUUUUCUUCUUCCUCAGAGAAGGUUUCUCUGAACAUUUCAUCCCUAGGCGAUAUUUCUGACCUCUGCAUUUACAAUAUAUUUAGUGUAUGUUUCCCAUUUGCCAUUUAUUUAUAAGCAGUGCCAGGGGCACCAUUUCUAUUUUGAGUUAUUUUACUUUUCAAUAGAUAGUCAUGGAGUCCCCUGACAAUUAUACUUUAAGCAAGUUUAAAACAGGAAUAAGAUAUUACUUUUCAUUCCUCUUCUUUCUCCUUCAAAUUCACAUAAUUUAGCAUAUUAUACAUAACAGAUAAUCAAUACAUAUCAUUUCGCAUUUGUUACAGGAUGAGGAUAAGACUAGCAAAUGAAGAAAAGGCUACAUAAUGUAACAAAUAUGUUUCAUUUUCAAAUGAAUAAAUUAUUUCAAAUGAGAUCAUAAACAAAAUGAGAAAUGCAUGACCAAGAACAUAAUUUACAGUAGGCUGACACAUGAAUGCAAAGAUUUGGGAAGCAGCAGCUGCAAUGGAAACUCCAAUUAUUGUGCCAAGUGUGUGAAUGCACUCAGCUGUAGGACAAGCCAGAUGUCAAUCAAAAAUGUAAUAAAAACAAGAUGUUCACUCUCCACAUGAGUUUGUAUAUAUAUUUACUCAAAGAACUAACAGUCCAUUUGGCAAUAAUAAAAGCAAGAGAAAAAUAAAGGAAACAUUAAAAAAUACAAAACAGUAAAUGUCAGAAGUAAAUCAAACACAUCUUUAACACAAUAACUAUGAGUUAAACUCCCCUAAUAACCAUCUCACACUGGAUCAUAAGCAAAAUCCAAAUUCUUGCCUCCCAGAAGAGAUACACAGUAAACAAAGUGACCCUAAAAUGCCUAUUCAUCCCACAAACAUUUUUUUGUAGAGUAUCUCCUGAUACAGAAAGUGACAGAGGUUACAUGUUAAAAGAUAGAGAGAUGUACAUAGCAAAUGCCAACAACAAGGACACAAGAGUCACAAUGUUAACAUUAAAAAAGAAGUACUACAGGCAAAAGGCAUUAUGCAGAACAGAAAAAAAUGUUUAUUUGUAUACCAAUUAAUGAAGAAUACAAUCCACCAGAAUCCUUACUGAAAGUGAUAAAGGGAUAUAGCUAAAUACUUAACACCUAUCACACAGUACUCAAAAACUACUGGUUGUUUUUAGUAUUUGUGUUAGCAAUAGGAGUAUUAGCAAGAUAUAAUAGUCAUUGAUAUUCAUACUGCAGAUAGCAUUAAUAUAAAGAAAAAUAUUGGAAAUACGGGAAGAAUUAACAAAAUCAUAGUAAGAUAAGGAUGAGUAGGUUUUACCACAGAUUUUUUUUUUUUUUUGGUUGUUCUUAAAGCAACAAGUGACAAAAAUAAAUGGUAACGAUCUAAAUAAUAAUAACUGAUUAUCUUUGCUAUUAUUUUGUGUGUAUGUAUAUAGGCAGACAUAUAUAUUUUUGUAUACUUUAUAAGCUUUAUGAUCCAUUAAAUGAUACAUUUCCUUUGUCAUUGCUGAUAGAAUAAUUAUCAAAUUUGAUCAUUUACGAAAUAAGAAUAAAAACCAUAAUUUCUAAAGCAAAAGAUUGGCAUUAUUCUUUGACACCUGCAAAAAAUAAAACAACAACAACAAUAACAACCUGGAAAUUAAGAAACAGUAGCAAAACAAAACAAAAACUUGAAAAGUUAUGUUUAUUCACCUAAAUAGCUCUCAGAUCAAAGAGAAUAUAAAAACUAAACUUAGAAUAAUUUAAAAUAAUAGUGGAAACAUUACAUAAAAAAACCUGUGAGAUGCAGGCAAAAGUAUACUCAUAGGUAAACCAAUAUCUUUAAAUGAUUUCAAUAUUCAAAAAACUAAGAAUUAAUAGUAAAUGAUCAAAUCUUUAUAUUUGAAAAGGUAGAAAUGCAAACUUAGAAAAAGCAUAGGAAGACUAACAUGGAUUGAAGUAGAAAAUGAUUUUAAAAACAGAAAAUGCAAGUAAUUGGAAAAUAAACUCAGUGCCUUAUUCCUACAAGGACAAUAAAAAUGAAAUGAU
rnacentral:lncRNA from 1 species